GAUGAACGCUGGCGGCGCUGCUUAACACAUGCAAGUCGAACGAUGAAGCCCAGCUUGCUGGGUGGAUUAGUGGCGAACCGGUGAGUAACACGUGAGUAACCUGCCCUUAACUCUGGGAUAAGCCUGGGAAACUGGGUCUAAUACCGGAUAGGAGCGCCUACCGCAUGGCGGGUGUUGGAAAGAUUUAUCGGCUUUGGAUGGACUCCCGGCCUAUCAGCUUGUUGGUGAGGUAAUGGCUCACCAAGGCGACGACGGGUAGCCGGCCUGAGAGGGUGACCGGCCACUCUGGGACUGACACACGGCCCCGACUCCUACGGGAGGCUGCAGAGGGGAAUAUUGCACCAUGGGCGCUAGCCUGAUGCACCGACGCCUCGCGAGGCAUGACGGCCUCCUUCUUGCCCACCUCUUGCACCACGCAAGAAGCCAAAGUGACGCUCCCUGUCCAACAAUUGUCGGGUAACCACGUGCCUGCUGCCGAGGUCACACUUGCGGUGCGAGCGCCCCUCCGGAAUUACUGUAGCGUAUUGAGCUCGUAGGCGGCUUGUCGCGUCUGUCGUGAAAGACCGGGGCUUAACCCCCGAUCUGCGGUGGGUACGGGCAGACUAGAGUGCAGUAGGGAAGACUGGAAUUCCUGGUGUAGCGGUGGAAUGCGCAGAUAUCAGGAGGAACACCGAAUGGCGAAGGCAGGUCUCUGGGCUGUAACUGACGCUGAGGAGCGAAAGCAUGGGGAGCGAACAGGAUUAGAUACCCUGGUAGUCCAUGCCGUAAACGUUGGGCACUAGGUGUGGGGACCAUUCCACGGUUUCCGCGCCGCAGCUAACGCAUUAAGUGCCCCGCCUGGGGAGUACGGCCGCAAGGCUAAAACUCAAAGGAAUUGACGGGGGCCCGCACAAGCGGCGGAGCAUGCGGAUUAAUUCGAUGCAACGCGAAGAACCUUCCCAAGGCUUGACAUGUUCUCGAUCGCCGUAGAGAUACGGUUUCCCCUUUGGGGCGGGUUCACAGGUGGUGCAUGGUGGUCGUCAGCUCGUGUCGUGAGAUGUUGGGUUAAGUCCCGCAACGAGCGCAACCCUCGUUCCAUGUGGCCAGCACGUAAUGGUGGGGACUCAUGGGAGACUGCCGGGGUCAACUCGGAGGAAGGUGAGGAUGACGUCAAAUCAUCAUGCCCCUUAUGUCUUGGGCUUCACGCAUGCUACAAUGGCCGGUACAAUGGGUUGCGAUAUUGUGAGGAGGAGCUAAUCCCAAAAAGCCGGUCUCAGUUCGGAUUGGGGUCUGCAACUCGACCCCAUGAAGUCGGAGUCGCUAGUAAUCGCAGAUCAGCAACGCUGCGGUGAAUACGUUCCCGGGCCU
rnacentral:rRNA from 1 species